ACUUUUUGGUUUCUCUCUCUCCCUCUUUUCUCUCUACCUCCUCAUUCUCUUCUCCUCGCAAGAUCUAUGUACCCUUUUUUUCUCUCUUCCUCCUGUUCUCUUCCCCUCCACUGUCUCCUCUUCUUCUUCUAAUAACCUAUCAAGCCCUCCACGAGAAACUUCUUUUUCAUCUUCUUCCCCACAAUCAGCACAAAUCAAAGCUGAUUCCUUCCAAGAAUGGGUUUUGAAGAUCAAGAAAACUCUCCCUCCUGCUCUCUUCCCCUCCACUCUCACUCUUCUUCUUCUUAUAACCCAUCAAGCCCUCCACGAGAAACUUCCUUUUCAUCUUCUUCCCCAAAGUCAGCCACAAAUCAAGACUGAUUCCUUCCAAGAAUGGGUUUUGAAGAUCAAGAAAAUGGCUCAGGAUUUCGUCAUCUAACAAAUCAAUGAGCAAAGAAACAGCAAACUCAAAUCAGGUUGUAGGUUUCACGUGCUUCUCUUUUACCCUUGUUUUCACCGCUUUAAUGGCAUCUUCCAUGGCCUCAUCAACUAAUUUGGCACCAUGGGUUGCUCUCUCUCACCUUCUUCGCCAUCAAUUCGAUGUCUCUGGGCCACAUCGAGUGACUGAUGCAGUUUGAUGCAACCACAAUAUUUUGUUCCGACCCUUGUGGAUGAGUCUCACUUUUGUUAUGAAGCUACUUAUUGGGAGAGCCCAACUCAGCAUUCGAUGUUAUGUUAUCGUUAAAGAGGAGCAACACAAGACAACAAAAAAAGAAUAUUUUUUUAAGCACCUUUUUGAGCAUAUUGUCCCCCAUUUUUUGUAUCUAAACUUUAUUGGAUGUAAAGCAUUUUAUAUAUAAUAUUUUUUGUAUUUAUAUAUUGGAUGUAAAGCAUUUUUUGAGCCCUUUGCGGGUUUUUGUAUAGAACUCUCUUUGUGGGUUGCUUAACACUUGUAAAUGGCACUAGCAA